AUUCAGUGGUAGAAAUCUUGCCUUCCAUGCAGGAGACCCGGGUUCGAUUCCUGG
rnacentral:tRNA from 1 species